rnacentral:rRNA from 1 species
CCCGACUGCUAUUUGGGUGAGGAUAAGCCAUGCGAGUCGAAUGGGAUACCUAAAUUUCCCAUGGCGAACUGCUCAAUAACACAUGAUCAACUUACCCUAUGGAGAAAAAUAACCUCGGGAAACUGAGGAUAAUGUUUCAUAGUUGAAAAGGCUUGGAAAAGUUUUUCGACCAAAGGGAUAAGAAAAAUGGUUUUUAUCCGCUAUAGGAUAGGAUCGUGGUCGAUUAUGGUCGUUGGUGAGGUAAUGGCUCACCAAGCCGAUAAUCGAUAGGGGCCGUGAGAGCGGGAGCCCCGAGAUGGGUACUGAGACAGCGACCCAGGCCUUACGAGGCGCAGCAGGCGCGGAACCUCCGCAAUACACGAAAGUGUGACGGGGUUACCCAAAGUGUUCAAUUUUGAACUGUGGUAGGUGAGUAAUGUUCCCUACUAGAAAGGAGAGGGCAAGGCUGGUGCCAGCCGCCGCGGUAAAACCAGCUCUUCAAGUGGUCGGGAUAAUAUUGGGCUUAAAGUGUCCGUAGCCGGUUUAGUAAGUUCCUGGUAAAAUCGGGUAGCUUAACUAUCUGCAUGCUAGGAAUACUGCUAUACUAGAGGACGGGAGGGGUCUGAGGUACUACAGGGGUAGGGGUGAAAUCUUAUAAUCCUUGUAGGACCACCAGUGGCGAAGGCGUCAGACUGGAACGUGCCUGACGGUGAGGGACGAAAGCCAGGGGAGCAAACCGGAUUAGAUACCCGGGUAGUCCUGGCCGUAAACGAUGCAUACUAGGUGAUGGCAUGGCCAUGAACCGUGUCAGUGCCGUAGGGAAACCGUUAAGUGUGCCGCCUGGGAAGUACGGUCGCAAGGCUAAAACUUAAAGGAAUUGGCGGGGGAGCACCACAACGGGGUGAAGCCUGCGGUUCA